GACGGGCCGAGACAUAUUCCACCGCGCCAAGGCCCGAUCGGCUCCCUCGGCUCGUCCACUCAUGGCUCAGCUCGCCAAAUAACUAAACCCUCACGCGAUAGAGCGACCAUCAGAUGCGUCGCACCUCCAUCGCAGAUCCCCUUUCGCAGCCGGCUCUAUCGGCGACCCAAAUCCCCGAUGCAUCGUCCUACUCCGAUCAAUCAAGGAUAGUUGGUUCGUCAGGGCGCACUCUGAUGUUAUGAUGAUGGAAGGAGGCAGGCGGAAGCAGCAGCACGCGCUGCUCCAAUUCCAGUGCGGAUCGGUGCUCUACUUUGACGAAUUUGGCAUCCCCUUCAGGAGCUUGUCAAUCGUCAUCCUGGCGUGGUGGUGGUGGCCGCUGCAGAUGCGGAGGCUCCCCGUCGCCGUCGGUGAUAGCAGUGGUGAACCUGGCGGCAGCUCAGUGGCAUGUGCGGGCAGCACGUACGGUAGCUCCCCAUGCGGCGCCUCGGUGACUACCUCCCUCUCUCGUUGUGACGGUCGCCAUGGCGGCAGCGCACAGAGCUUCCUCACCGAGCUCACGACGUAGUUACCGGCUUACUGCUGGCCCUCUACUGCUACCCGUGGCUCGCGGCGUGCGAGGAUUUGAUGCUGGACAGCAGGAAGCCAGGAACGGUGGCGCGCCUGUGGGCACUUGGCAUCCUCACCGCGGCUGCAUGUCGUGAUUUUUUGCAGAUUAACGGUGAUGCUGAUUUGUAAUGUUUGCAACUAGAGAUGAGGUUGAGAUGCUGUACGCUUUUGCUCAUAUGCUUAUGAGUUCCAGUUCGGACAUAGGCUUCGAUGGAAAUUUUUUUGUGUAAAACUUUUUUUUGGAUGAUUCAUCACGCUUAUAGUAAAUUAUACCAGAUUU